rnacentral:misc_RNA from 1 species
AACGCGAAUGGCACUCUUGUGAAAGCAAGAGUAUGUCUGUUUGAGAAUCGCAAAACACGACGAUCAACUCAGGUUUGAGUUUGGUACUGGCGUUAGCGCGUUUGCGCGCUUCUGCCCGAAUGCAUUAAGGCUGAUGAGUCCCCCGGGUGGAGCUCUUAUGUGUGCUAGCGAACGGUUGUUUCGACGUCACAAAGGGUUCUCCCUCCGCAGGCUCUGUCGACAGCCUGUCGCCCGUUGUUUAUUCUUUAUUAUGACGAUCUCAAAUCAGGCAAGAUUACCCGCUGGACUUAA